ensembl:snoRNA
UAGCAAGACUCCAGCAUGCUUGGGUGUGCAGUGACCCUAUGCAUUCCUACAGUGCUUGCCAGAGCAGUUUUGAAAUGCUUUGAGGCCUUGCCCUGUUCUAUCCAGAGCAAGGAUAUAGAAAUUUCAGAGAAUU